GACCUCGGAUCAGGUAGGGAUACCCGCUGAACUUAAGCAUACCAAUAAGCGGAGGAAAAGAAACCAACAGGGAUUGCCUCAGUAACGGCGAGUGAAGCGGCAACAGCUCAAAUUUGAAAUCUGGCCUUCGGGUCCGAGUUGUAAUUUGCAGAGGAUGCUUCGAGCAUGGUCUAGUCUAAGUUCCUUGGAAUAGGACGUCAUAGAGGGUGAGAAUCCCGUAUGCGACUGGGUGCCUAAGCUCAUGUGAAGCUCCUUCGACGAGUCGAGUUGUUUGGGAAUGCAGCUCAAAAUGGGUGGUAAAUUUCAUCUAAAGCUAAAUAUUGGCCGGAGACCGAUAGCGCACAAGUAGAGUGAUCGAAAGAUGAAAAGCACUUUGGAAAGAGAGUUAAAUAGCACGUGAAAUUGUUGAAAGGGAAGCGC
rnacentral:rRNA from 1 species